rnacentral:rRNA from 1 species
UACGUAGGGUGCGAGCGUUGUCCGGAAUUAUUGGGCGUAAAGAGCUCGUAGGCGGUCUGUCGCGUCUGCUGUGAAAACCCGAGGCUCAACCUCGGGCCUGCAGUGGGUACGGGCAGACUAGAGUGCGGUAGGGGAGAAUGGAGUUCCUGGUGUAGCGGUGGAAUGCGCAGAUAUCAGGAGGAACACCGAUGGCGAAGGCAGAUCUCUGGGCCGUAACUGACGCUGAGGAGCGAAAGCAUGGGGAGCGAACAGG